rnacentral:rRNA from 1 species
GAUGAACGCUGGCGGCGUGCCUAAUACAUGCAAGUCGAGCGAACAGACGAGGAGCUUGCUCCUCUGACGUUAGCGGCGGACGGGUGAGUAACACGUGGAUAACCCACCUAUAAGACUGGGAUAACUUCGGGAAGCCGGAGCUAAUACCGGAUAAUAUAUUGAACCGCAUGGUUCAAUAGUGAAAGACGGUUUUGCUGUCACUUAUAGAUGGAUCCGCGCCGCAUUAGCUAGUUGGUAAGGUAACGGCUUACCAAGGCGACGAUGCGUAGCCGACCUGAGAGGGUGAUCGGCCACACUGGAACUGAGACACGGUCCAGACUCCUACGGGAGGCAGCAGUGGGGAAUCUUCCGCAAUGGGCGAAAGCCUGACGGAGCAACGCCGCGUGAGUGAUGAAGGUCUUCGGAUCGUAAAACUCUGUUAUUAGGGAAGAACAAAUGUGUAAGUAACUAUGCACGUCUUGACGGUACCUAAUCAGAAAGCCACGGCUAACUACGUG